rnacentral:rRNA from 1 species
UAAUAUCGGAUAACGCAUAUGUGCUGGAAUGCUUUAUGCGUAAAACGGAUUCGUCCGCCCAAGGAUGGGUCUGCGGCCUAUCAGGUAGUAGUGGGUGUAAUGUACCUACUAGCCAACAACGGGUACGGGUUGUGAGAGCAAGAGCCCGGAGAUGGAUUCUGAGACAUGAAUCCAGGCCCUACGGGGCGCAGCAGGCGCGAAAACUUUACAAUGCGGGAAACCGUGAUAAGGGAACACCGAGUGCCAGCAUCAUAUGCUGGCUGUCCAGAUGUGUAAACUACAUCUGUUAGCAAGGGCCGGGCAAGACCGGUGCCAGCCGCCGCGGUAACACCGGCGGCCCGAGUGGUGACCGUUAUUAUUGGGUCUAAAGGGUCCGUAGCCGGUUUGGUCAGUCCUCCGGGAAAUCUGAUAGCUUAACUGUUAGGCUUUCGGGGGAUACUGGCAGGCUUGGAACCGGGAGAGGUGAGAGGUACUACAGGGGUAAGAGUGAAAUCUUGUAAUCCCUGUGAGACCACCUGUGGCGAAGGCGUCUUACCAGAACGGGUUCGACGGUGAGGGACGAAAGCUGGGGGCACGAACCGGAUUAAAUACCCGGGUAGUCCCAGCCGUAAACUAUGCUCGCUAGGUGU